rnacentral:rRNA from 1 species
AUGGCGAUCACCAAGAAGGAAACGGCGUCGCUGCUGACAGAGAUCCCGGACGAACUCCUGGCGGAGAUCUUCCUCCGGCUGCCCGACCCAGCUGACCUCGCCCGCGCCUCCAUGGCCUAGACGGAUUCCACCCGGCCAUGCCGCCUCACCCCUCUGCUGCCGCAGCCGGCGCUCGCCCUCGCCGUUGACUUCACCUUCUCCUUCCUCCCUGGCCACUUCCGCUGGUUCAACCUGGACAUCCGUGACGGCCGCGUCCUCCUCCAACGCGGGUUCGAAGAAUAUGGGCCGCCGGGAGUCUUCCGGGAGCUCGCGGUUUGUGACCCAUUGCACCGGCGGUACGCCCUUCUUCCCCAACUGCCUGACGACCUAGCCGCUACGGUGGAUUGCCUGCUCACCAGCCCUUUCCUCGUCCCCGUCAGCGAGGACGAGGAAGAGACGGCAUUCAAGGUGAUCUGUUUGGCACGCGGCAAAACUAAAGUGGCUGCCUUCGUCUUCUCUACGAGCAUCGGACAAUGGCAAGCUGCUGCAUGCAUGGGUUGGAGUGAUUUGGCCCUUGACAUGGUUGACUCGGACAUGAUGUCACGGAUCAACUCUUGUUAUCUCAGGCGCCAUUAUGCUUAUGGCUGCUUCUACUGGGACUGGCUGGUGAUCCACAAGAAGCAGUUGCUCGUGCUUGACACUAGGAGGAUGGAGUUCUCCGUUGCCGACCUCCCACCUGGAGGAUGGUGCACACAAGGUGUGGCCAUUGUUGAGGCAGGGGAAGGCAUGCUCGGCAUGUUUGGUCUCCAUAGUGAAACUGCAUCUGAUCUCACUUAUGCCGUUGUGCGAAACAGAGGCGAGAGCCCAAGCCAGUGCCAAAUUGAGAAGACAAUCUCACUAGAUUCUGGGUACCGGUGUUAUAUCAAAGCUGUAACAGAGAGCUGUUUGCUAUUAAUGAGGACAAAAGCCCUGCCGGGAUCACCUCUACUCAUUGAGUAUUUCACAAUGGACAUCAGGACAUUACAGCUACAGAGGGUUUGUGCGAAACAAUGCAAGACUUGGCUGCCCGGGAUAAUGAUAUAUGCCCGCUUGUUUGAAACUGGGGUAUAUACCAACUUUCCACCAUCACUGUUGCCUCCACCGACAGUUUGA